GACGAACGCUGGCGGCGUGCUUAACACAUGCAAGUCGAACGGAAAGGCCCUGCUUUUGUGGGGUGCUCGAGUGGCGAACGGGUGUGUAACACGUGAGUAACCUGCCCUUGACUUUGGGAUAACUUCAGGAAACUGGGGCUCAUACCGGAUAGAAGCUCCUGCUGCAUGGUGGGGGUUGGAAAGUUUCGGCGUUGGUGGCUGUACUCGAGGCGUAUCAGCUUGUUGGUCGGGUUAUGGCGUACCAGGGCUAUGACGGGUAGCCGGCCUGAGAGAGUGGUCGGCCACACUGGAGCGGGGACACGGUCCAGGCGCCUACGGGAGGCAGCAGAAGGGAAUCGGGGGCAAUGGGCGGGAGCAUGGCGGAACAGGGCCGCGUGAGUGAUGAAGAUCUUCGGAUCGGGAAACUCUGUUAUUGGGGGAGAACAGCUGUGUAAGUUGCUAUACACGUCUUGACGGUAACUGGUCAGAAAGCCACGGCUAACUACGUG
rnacentral:rRNA from 1 species